UCCGAUUGAAAAUGAUCUCAGAUGUAACCGUGGUCUGAGGUCAGAUACCGGAGCCUACAGCAUCGUGGUCCAUUUAAGCUUAUCACCUGCUCCCCCAUUGGCAGAGCGAUGAAACCCAUGUGCCAACAAGC
rnacentral:snoRNA from 1 species